UAAUACGGAGGGUGCGAGCGUUGUCCGGAAUCACUGGGCGUAAAGGGCGCGUAGGCGGUCUGCUAAGCGUGUGGUGAAAGCUCGGGGCUCAACCCCGAGUCGGCCAUGCGGACUGGUGGACUUGAGCACUGUAGAGGCAGGUGGAAUUCCGGGUGUAGCGGUGGAAUGCGUAGAGAUCCGGAAGAACACCGGUGGCGAAGGCGGCCUGCUGGGCAGUAGCUGACGCUGAGGCGCGACAGCGUGGGGAGCAAACAGGAUUAGAUACCCUGGUAGUCCACGCCGUAAACGAUGGGGACUAGGUGCUUGGGGGAGCGACCCCUCGAGUGCCGGCGCUAACGCAUUAAGUCCCCCGCCUGGGGAGUACGACCGCAAGGUUGAAACUCAAAGGAAUUGACGGGGGCCCGCACAAGCGGUGGAGCAUGUGGUUUAAUUCGACGCAACGCGAAGAACCUUACCCAGGCUUGACAUGGCAUUGUAAGCCGGUGGAAACACCGGCCCCUCUUCGGAGCAGUGUCACA
rnacentral:rRNA from 1 species